rnacentral:rRNA from 1 species
GACGAACGCUGGCGGCGUGCUUAACACAUGCAAGUGGAGCGACGAACCGGGCUUCGGCCCGGGGCAGAGCCGCGAACGGGUGAGUAACACGUGGAUAACCUACCCCGAUGACCGGGACAACCCGGGGAAACCCGGGCUAAUACCGGAUGUCCUCACCGUCCACAAGGACAGUGAGCAAAGGAAGCUUCGGCCUCCGCAUUGGGAGGGGUCCGCGGCCCAUUAGCUUGUUGGUGAGGUAACGGCUCACCAAGGCAACGAUGGGUAGCUGGUCUGAGAGGACGAUCAGCCACACUGGGACUGAGACACGGCCCAGACUCCUACGGGAGGCAGCAGUGGGGAAUCUUGCGCAAUGCGCGAAAGCGUGACGCAGCAACGCCGCGUGGGUGAAGAAGGCUUUCGGGUCGUAAAACCCUUUCAGCAGGGACGAAGCUCCGGCAGCGAAUAGCUGUCCGGAGUGACGGUACCUGCAGAAGAAGCCCCGGCUAACUACGUGCCAGCCGCCGCAGUAACAC